rnacentral:tRNA from 1 species
UUAAUUAAAGCCAAAAAGAGGCAUAUUAUUGUUAAUAAUAUAAAUGAACUUUAACUUCUAAUUAAA